rnacentral:lncRNA from 1 species
AGGCUAAGGCAGAAGAAUCGCUUGAACCUAGGAGGCAGAGGUUGCAGUGAACCGAGAUUGUGCCACUGCACUCCAGCCUGGGCAACAGAGCGAGACUCCGUCUCAAAAAAAAAAAAAAAAAAGACUAUAGGAAAACAGUAAACAACAAGGGCCGGGCGCGGUGGUUCACGCCUGUAAUCCCAGCACUUUGCAAAGCCGAGGGAGGCGGAUCACUUGAGGUCAGGAGUUUGAAACUGUAGCAGGAGAGGUCGUAGACAAAAUCCCUCAGACACCGGAUUGUGGAAGGAACUUCCAUGGAACUUGAGCCUUCGCACAGCGUAUUUUGGCAUCGAAUUUAAAGCUAGUAGAGGUCCGGAAGAUUCCCAGGAUUAAAGUCUUUAAACAGAAAGCGUGAAUCUUGCCUAAGUAAAAGGUACCAUCUCUGGGUGGGCUUGAACCACCAGCCUUUCGGUUCAAACAGCCGAACGCACUAACCUAUUGCGCCACAGAGACUCUAAUGGUUUAGAUUUGCUGAUACCAGAAAUGGCAUUUUAACCUCUGGCGGUAGAUAAUCUCAUAUGUUUGUAGCCUGUCCAAUCCCGCGCACUCCAGAAACCCAGAACACGGGAGACAUUGAAGCCAAGAGUCGAGUCUUUGGGCACGUUUGGACAUUCUACCCGGGCAGAAGUCAGCUGGGGGACUCCAACGGCCAAACGGCCGCCUGCUCCUCACCGUCUGCUCUUCACUGCUUCCCCCGCCUGCUCUUCACCGUCUCAAAAGUCGCCGGCCCCUCUACAGGCGACAACUGCAGCUUCUCAGGCGGAAGUCACUCGCUUUCCCAUUCUUAGCCCCGCUUCACACCUUGAGCUCACAGUCAUUUCCGCCGGGCCUGGGCUAGCGGACGCGCGCGUGGGAAGGACCAGAACCCGUGGUGUCCUCACCGCGUCGCCCUCGGGCCCUCAGAGGUGGGAUCCACCGGACAGGGACCUGGAGUUUGCACAGGCUGCAGCCCUUCGCCCAGAGCCAGCCUAGCACCUGAGCCGGUUUAGAAUCCAGCAAAGGCC